ensembl:snRNA U6 U6 spliceosomal RNA
AUCUAUACCUGAAAAUGCUGUAAACUUAUUUUGGAAUAAUACGGAGAAGAUUAGCCUGGCCCCGGUGCAAGGCUAACAUGCAAAUUCAUGAACCUUACUUUCUUAAA